AACCUUAUGGACCUGCGGGCGUAUACCUGCGGAGGGAUCAUUACAGAGUUCGUGCCCUCGCGGGUAGAUCUCCCACCCUUGUGUAUUCUCUACAUCUUGUUGCUUUGGCAGGCCGUUGGUUCGCCAACCACCGGCUCGCGGGCUGGUGCGUGCCUGCCAGAGGACCUCUCAAACUCGGUUUGUCAGUGUCGUCUGAGUACCAUAACAAUCGUUAAAACUUUUAACAACGGAUCUCAGAUC
rnacentral:misc_RNA from 1 species